rnacentral:rRNA from 1 species
GAAUCCCGUCUUUGGCACGGAUGCACCAGGGCUUUUGUGAUGCGCUCUCGAAGAGUCGAGUUGUUUGGGAAUGCAGCUCAAAAUGGGUGGUGAACUCCAUCUAAAGCUAAAUAUUGGCGAGAGACCGAUAGCGAACAAGUACCGUGAGGGAAAGAUGAAAAGCACUUUGGAAAGAGAGUGAAACAGUACGUGAAAUUGUUGAAAGGGAAACGCUUGAAGUCAGUCGCGUCGACCGAGACUCAGCCUUGCCUCGGCUCGGUGUACUUCUCGGCCGACGGGUCAGCAUCAAUUUUGCCCCUCGGAUAAUGGCGAGAGAAAGGUGGCACCCUCACGGGUGUGUUAUAGUCUCCCGUCGGAUGCGAGGGUCGGGAUUGAGGAACUCGGCACGUACCGUGCUUAGGAUGUUGGCAUAAUGGCUUUAAACGACCCGUCUUGAAACACGGACCAAGGAGUCUAACAUGCCCGCGAGUGUUCGGGUGGAAAACCCGUGCGCGUAAUGAAAGUAAAAGUUGGGACCCCUGUCGUGGGGGGCACCGACGCCCGGACCAGACCUUCUGUGACGGAUCUGCGGUAGAGCGUGCAUGUUGGGACCCGAAAGAUGGUGAACUAUGCCUGAAUAGGGUGAAGCCAGAGGAAACUCUGGUGGAGGCUCGUAGCGAUUCUGACGUGCAAAUCGAUCGUCAAAUUUGGGUAUAGGGGCGAAAGACUAAUCGAACCAUCUAGUAGCUGGUUCCUG